UACGGGGGGGCAAGCGUUGUUCGGAUUACUGGGCGUAAAGGGCGCGUAGGCGGCCUGCUAAGUCGGAUGUGAAACUCCCUCCGGCUCAACCGAGGAACUGCAUCCGAUACUGGCGGGCUUGAAUCCGGGGAGAGGGAGUGUGGAAUUCCAGGUGUAGCGGUGAAAAUGCGUAGAUAUCUGGAGGAACACCGGUGGCGAAGGCGGCAUCCUGGACCGGUAUG
rnacentral:rRNA from 1 species